rnacentral:rRNA from 1 species
AUCUACAGCCAUGCCAUCCUGAACAUGCCUGAUCUUGUCUGGUCUCAGAAGCUAAGCAGGGUCUGGCCUGGUUAGUACUUGGAUGAGAGAAAGCCUUCAGUUAUAAUCA